CAGCAGCCGCGGGAAUACGGAGGGGGCUAGCGUUGUUCGGAAUUACUGGGCGUAAAGCGCACGUAGGCGGCUUGGUAAGUUAGAGGUGAAAGCCUGGAGCUCAACUCCAGAAUUGCCUUUAAGACUGCCGAGCUAGCAGGUGAGAGAGGUAAGUGGAAUUCCGAGUGUAGAGGUGGAAUUCGUAGAUAUUUGGAAGAACACCAGUGGCGAAGGCGGCUCACUGGCUCAUACUGGACGCUGAGGUGCGAGAGCGUGGGGAGCAAACAGGAUUAGAUACCCCUGUAGUCCCUGUCUCUUAUAC
rnacentral:rRNA from 1 species